UACGUAGGGUGCGAGCGUUGUCCGGAAUUAUUGGGCGUAAAGAGCUCGUAGGCGGUUUGUCGCGUCGGAUGUGAAAGCCCGGGGCUUAACUCCGGGUCUGCAUUCGAUACGGGCAGGCUAGAGUUCGGUAGGGGAGAUCGGAAUUCCUGGUGUAGCGGUGAAAUGCGCAGAUAUCAGGAGGAACACCGGUGGCGAAGGCGGGUCUCUGGGCCGAUACUGACGCUGAGGAGCGGAAAGCGUGGGGAGCAAACAGG
rnacentral:rRNA from 1 species